CAAAUAGUACCUAAAAAGACUUCAAACUUAUUCAUAUAAUUAAAAAGGCAUGCUUAAAAAGCGUAAAUUGUCACUGUUCCAACUAAUUCAUGGGGAAUUUGCCUUCUGAUUGUUAGCUUCUAAAUCAAGGCCAAUAUGCUGAUUGCUGAGAUGAUAAAGAAGACUUAAACCUGAAUUUUGAAAAGAUGCGGAAAACCAUCAAUUUUUUGAAGAAUUUCUUGGAAGAAAAUGCCAAUAGUGAACCAUUUUUGGCUCUUUGGCAAUGACAGAUAUCUGAGAAGUGAGCACUGAUCUGCUAAGCAUUUGAAUUCAAUCUUCACUUAAACUCCAUGCCUUACUUCUACACUUGGUUUGUUUUGAUGCACUCAUGUCGGAUACCCGACAUUUCAGAGGCGGAUCUAGAACUGGUUCAACGAAUUUAAUUGAACCCACUACUUCCAACUCAAAUCACUUCUACAUAUGAAAAAGGAUCAUCGUGGACAUUUACUGAUUCCACUCUUUUUGAUGCGCUUCAGAUUCAUCAUGCCAAACUCAAAAGAAAUUAAAAACCAAAUAUGAAAAACUUUUUACGUACCAAGUUUAUCUUGAAAAGCUCGUUGAGCAAUUCAAGAAAAUAAGUUUCUGUACUCCACUACCCAAAGAAAAAAUAAGUUUGCAGAUGCGUUGGCAACAUUGACCUCCAAGAUUUCAUAAGGGAAGGUUUGCCCAAUUAUGAUAGAACGAAGAAGCAGCCUGGUGUGUUGAAGACAAAAUAAAUAUAAAUAUAUAACCAAUCAUAUUCAUUCUGAAUCCAUUUUGACUAAAAUUCUAUAUCUGCCUCUGCGAACACUUAAUAUAAACCUGAUCAGUCUGUGUAUUACGCUUCGUCUCCUGAAAUAUUUCUUCCUUCUUAUUGAGCCAUGAUGAUCAUGAUAUACAAUUUGCUACCCAGAAGAAAAUUUAUACUGAUGACCAGUUCAGACUUUUGAUCUCCUCUCUGUGACCAGUUGUGUCUUUCCUAUCUAAUCUUGCAAAGCACAAAAAAAGACAAACAUUAAUCUUUUUUGUUAGAACUAUGUUGUUUCAUGAUAUGCUGGCUUCUCCAUCCUUGAGAAGCCAAGCCAAGAAUAUGCUCAAAUGAUUAAGCCUAAAUUCCUGAUUAU
rnacentral:lncRNA from 1 species